GACGAACGCUGGCGGCGUGCUUAACACAUGCAAGUCGAACGGUAAGGCCCUUCGGGGUACACGAGUGGCGAACGGGUGAGUAACACGUGGGUGAUCUGCCCUGCACUUCGGGAUAAGCCUGGGAAACUGGGUCUAAUACCGGAUAGGACCCUGGGAUGCAUGUCCUGGGGUGGAAAGCUUUUGCGGUGUGGGGUGGGCCCGCGGCCUAUCAGCUUGUUGGUGGGGUGAUGGCCUACCAAGGCGACGGCGGGUAGCCGGCCUGAGAGGGUGACCGGCCACACUGGGACUGAGAUACGGCCCAGACUCCUACGGGAGGCAGCAGUGGGGAAUAUUGCACAAUGGGCGCAAGCCUGAUGCAGCGGCGCCGCGUGAGGGAUGACGGCCUUCGGGUUGUAAACCUCUUUCAGCACCGACGAAGCGCAAGUGACGGUAGGUGCAGAAGAAGGACCGGCCAGCUACGUGCCAGCCGCCGCAGUAA
rnacentral:rRNA from 1 species